CAAUAGCGUAUAUUAAAGUUGUUGCAGUUAAAAAGCUCGUAGUUGGAUUUCUGUGAGAGUGCCGGUGUCGGCUGAUGCUUGUACGCAGGCGCUCUUACAUCCUUCUGUUAACUGAUCUUGGCAUUUUAUUGCUGGUUCAGGGCUCAGAUAUUUUACCUUGAGAAAAUUAGAGUGUUUCAGGCAGGCUUAUGCCGGAAUACAUUAGCAUGGAAUAAUGGAACAGGACCUGUGCGUCUUUCGGGGCGCCGGUCUCCGUUAUUGGUUUCGGGGACUAAAGUAAUGAUUAAUAGGGAUAGUUGGGGGCAUUAGUAUUUAAUAGUCAGAGGUGAAAUUCUCGGAUUUGUUAAAGACUAACUUAUGCGAAAGCAUUUGCCAAGGAUGUUUCCAUUA
rnacentral:rRNA from 1 species